rnacentral:lncRNA from 1 species
AUAAAUAAAACCGGUGUUUUACUUGACAGGUGUGAAGAAACAGUUUCUUUCAAAAAGCCUUCAGUCUAAAACUCUAAACAUAGCUGAUCAAGUGCUACUGUUUGAGGCUGUACCUAAAAUUAAUAUUCAAAUUAUGUACCUGCCAAUCUACCCUAUAACCUGCUCUGUUAUCCAGAUGUCCACAGAAAUGGGCAAAGGAGUACACCAAAUGGCCUCUUGAUUCACCAAAGCCACAUGCUCAAGCGAUUUAUAGUUACAUUCUGCCCUGAGAUGCACACAUCAUUCUGAAAUAAAUGUGUACAUGUGUACCAUGAGAAAGAAACUGAGCUCUGACUUUUUUUCCUCAUUAUAUGAAACUCAAGCACAUACACUCUUCCUUGAGUACAAAAUGGAAAAAAGUAAAAUGUGUUGA